UUGUGCAGGCUAUUCCUUUACAAUAAACUGUUAGAUGAAAUUAGGCAAAAUUAUGUCUGAUAAUUUGUAUGUUUGAUACAACAAUGUAUUCAAUUUAAUAAUAUUAUUUUUUUAUUUUAAUGUUUUCAAAAGAAAUUAGCCAAUAUGCCUAAUUGUAUAAUUACAGUUAUGUUUGGAAAUGCAAGAAAAAGGCACGCAUUCCUGACAAGUCAAUGAUUGGUUGCACCUCUUAAAGAUAACUUUCUGUUAUGAGAAAAGAUGAGAUUCUUGGACUCCAGCACCACCAGAAAGGAAAAUCCCAUCAUGUUGCAAAAUAAAAGUCUUGGACCAAUUUUAAUUUAAGAUAUAUAUAUUAUACUGUAAGCUCUAUACAUAUUUAUGUAUAUCCUGUCAUUCAGCCAACAGGUUUGGAUUUAGUAUUUCUUUAAAUCUGUUUGAUAUUGUACUUGAAAACUAUUAAUCUGAGCCCCAUUAAAACAAUAGGGAGUGCAGUGAAUGAGUGAUAAAGCACUUGGCUUCUGAAUUGAGGGUUCCUGGGUUCUAUUAAGACUGGGAUUUUCAAUUUCAGAAUUCAAAAGGCUAGGGAUACAUGGCAAUAGUAAGGAAUAAAGGAAUAAGUAAAGGCAGUUUGGGGAUCCAUGGCUGAAUGGUUAAGUCAUGGGUCUGAAUCUCUGUGAAGACUCAGAUUUAAAAUUUUUAGAUUUUUGGGUGCCCCUGAGUCCACCUAACUCUAAUGGGUAGCUGACUUUCGUUUUGGAAAGUAAAGAUGGUUGGUUGUUGUGCUGGCCACAUGAUGCACUGGCCAAAGAAUCAAAUGACCUUAACAUCAUCUGCCCUAUAGAUUUUGAGGUCUGAAAUGGGAUUUUUUUUCAAAAGGUGGUUGGUUGUUGUGCUGGGUACAUGACACCCUCGCUAACCAUGGGGCACAUAAACUGAUAAACUUUAUAUCAUCUGCCCCAUAGAUUGCAAGAUAUGUAAGGGAAAUUUUACUUUUUUAAAAUUAAAAUAAGAAUCUAACAAAAGUAAACAUAUAAAAUAUGGUGCAUUCUCCUUAAAACUAAAACCUGGUGCGAAGGUUUAAAAUGUUGGCAAAAAAAAAGCAACAUCAUAUAUUCUUAAUUCCCUUAGCAAAACUUACUGAGAAGAACAUGCAUGUUGUUCCCUCAUAAGUUUCUUGACAGAGGAAAUCUUGUUUAUAUUAGAUUUGAAUUAAGCAAAUUAAGAAAAAAAUCUUGAUCAUUAUUUCAAAUGGUUGUAUCUAAACCUUAUGAAUUAUUUUUCAGUUAUAAGUAUAUUGAGAUGAAUGGAUAAUCAUGAAAUUGUUAAAUAAUUGCUGCUAUCAUUCCAUUGACUAAAGAACUGUACCAUAAUUAUUAUUUUUUUUUAAUUAAUUUCAAAAUGAUUUUUUUCAAGCAUAGAGUUCACAUAGAUCUUGAGUGAAUUUUUUUUUUAUUUGACUAUGCUUCAAUUUUAUUGUAUCAUAUUAGUUUUUAAUUUUUAUUACCCAGAAUAUUUAAAAAAUGAGUACACUAUUUCAUGUAAUAAUGUAACUUGGUAUUUACACAAUGCUCAACAUACGCUAUAAUCUUUAAGCCAUACAGAUUUGUAUAAAUUAACUUGUUUAAAUACAUUGUAAAUGUAUAUUGUUUGGAUAAGAAUAAAGUUUUUCUGUAGACAA